AUUCAGACAUUUGAUACUUGCCAAACAUAGUUUCCGCAGCAAAUGUGCCAUGAGUAAUGCUGCUGUCCUCCCGGCGGCUUCAUUCACGGGUCCUGCUGUGAUUUGAGUAUUCCAGAGGGAAGUGUCUGUAAUGCCAGUUUUGGGGGAAGCAGGACCUUUGCAAGAAGAACCAAGGAAUCAUCCUAAUUAUGCUUCUAAAAGAGAAACCAUUCAGAUGUUUUUCGGCAGUGAUGGCGGAGCAAGAUGUUUCCGGCACUAAAACUUCUGGAAAUUACAAAUCAGUUCCUUCUUCAUCUUUCACUCUGCUUUACAAAAAUUUGACCCUGUCCUAUAGGAUGUUCUUGUGAUUCUUCUCCACGUAUUUUUGUGCUGCUGAUUGGUCUGAAGGCAUCAUUCCUCUAAUUCUAUAUUUGAGACAUUCAUGGACAGGUCAAGAAAGAGGAUCUGUUUGGAGAGAACAAGGCAACAAGGACCCAGACUCCUAGAACACCAUCAAUUUGUUGUGGAUAUUUACAGAGACUGUCUCAAACUGGGAUACUCAGUGUUCAAACUUGUGUAACCUACACGAUUUCUCCUAUUUCAGUCCUUGGCCUGCCCUUAGCCAUGCACCCUCUAUCCAUCCUUGGCCCUAUUCUUCCUACUCUUCCUUGGGGAGAUCUGUCUACAGGCCAUGAAUUUGACCACAGAUAUCAAUGGUGUAUCAGAGUUUAAUCCGAGUGUUUUCUUUCUUUCCUUUUUUUAAAAUUUUUUGUGUUUAUUUAUUUUUGAGAGACAGAGAGCCAGAGCAUGAGCAGGGGAGGAGCAGAGAGAGAGGGAGACACAGAAUCUGAAGCAGGCUGCGGGCUCCGAGCUGUCCGCACAGAGCCCGACGCGGGGCUCGAACUCACGAACCGAGAGAUAAUGACCUGAGCCGAAGUCGGAUGCUCAGCCGACUGAGGAACCCAGGCGCCCCGCUUUAUUUUUUUAAGUUUAUUUAUUUAUUUUGAGAGAAAGAGAGAGAGAGAGAGAGAGAGAGAGAAUGAAUGAGAGGCAGAGAGAGAGAAUCCCAAGCAGGCUCCACACCCUUCACUGAGACUGAUGCAGGCUCGGUCUCAGAACCAUAGGAUUAUGACCUGAGCCCAAAUCAAGAGUCAGAUGCUUAACCCACUGAGCCACCCAGGUGCCCCCAGAGUGUUUUCUUUCUUAAUAGUACAUAAAAUAGUACAUAGGUGUCUCCGGUUCAAGGAUCCAUGAUACUGGCCAAGUGCAAACUAUCCAUGCUAAGCACCUGGGCUGCUGCAAAUGCCCCUUCCGUGUCCCUUGGUCCCUGCUUAUCUCUAUCUCCUGUCUUAGCUCUCAGCACACCAU
rnacentral:lncRNA from 1 species